rnacentral:rRNA from 1 species
CGUAGGGUGACCUGCGGAGGGAUCAUUACACAAAUAUGAAGGCGGGCUGGAACCUCUCGGGGUUACAGCCUUGCUGAAUUAUUCACCCUUGUCUUUUGCGUACUUCUUGUUUCCUUGGUGGGUUCGCCCACCACUAGGACAAACAUAAACCUUUUGUAAUUGCAAUCAGCGUCAGUAACAAAUUAAUAAUUACAACUUUCAACAACGGAUCUCUUGGUUCUGGCAUCGAUGAAGAACGCAGCGAAAUGCGAUAAGUAGUGUGAAUUGCAGAAUUCAGUGAAUCAUCGAAUCUUUGAACGCACAUUGCGCCCUUUGGUAUUCCAAAGGGCAUGCCUGUUCGAGCGUCAUUUGUACCCUCAAGCUUUGCUUGGUGUUGGGCGUCUUGUCUCUAGCUUUGCUGGAGACUCGCCUUAAAGUAAUUGGCAGCCGGCCUACUGGUUUCGGAGCGCAGCACAAGUCGCACUCUCUAUCAGCAAAGGUCUAGCAUCCAUUAAGCCUUUUUUUCAACUUUUGACCUCGGAUCAGGUAGGGAUACCCGCUGAACUUAAGCAUAUCAAUAAGCGGAGGAA